CCAGCGGAGGGAUCAUUGCUGGAACGCGCCCCAGGCGCACCCAGAAACCCUUUGUGAACUUAUACCUUACUGUUGCCUCGGCGCAUGCCGGCCCCCCUGGGGGCCCCUCCUUCUGGAGGAGCAGGCACGCCGGCGGCCAACCUAACUCUUGUUUUUACACUGAAACUCUGAGAAUAAAACAUAAAUGAAUCAAAACUUUCAACAACGGAUCUCUUGGUUCUGGCAUCGAUGAAGAACGCAGCGAAAUGCGAUAAGUAAUGUGAAUUGCAGAAUUCAGUGAAUCAUCGAAUCUUUGAACGCACAUUGCGCCCUCUGGUAUUCCGGAGGGCAUGCCUGUUCGAGCGUCAUUUCAACCCUCAAGCCUGGCUUGGUGAUGGGGCACUGCCUGUAAAAGGGCAGGCCCUGAAAUUCAGUGGCGAGCUCGCCAGGACCCCGAGCGCAGUAGUUAAACCCUCGCUUUGGAAGGCCCUGGCGGUGCCCUGCCGUUAAACCCCCAACUUCUGAAAAUU
rnacentral:rRNA from 1 species